rnacentral:rRNA from 1 species
CCUACGGGCGGCAGCAGUGGGGAAUAUUGCACAAUGGGGGAAACCCUGAUGCAGCGACGCCGCGUGAGUGAAGAAGUAAUUCGUUAUGUAAAGCUCUAUCAGCAGGGAAGAAAAUGACGGUACCUGAGUAAGAAGCCCCGGCUAACUACGUGCCAGCAGCCGCGGUAAUAAGUAGGGGGCAAGCGUUAUCCGGAUUUAAUGGGGGGAAAGGGGGCGGAGACGGCAGUGCAAGUCUGGAGUGAAAGGCGGGGGCUCAACCCCCGGAAUGCUCUGGAAACUGUACGGCUGGAGUGCAGGAGAGGUAAGUGGAAUUCCGAGUGUAGCGGUGAAAUGCGUAGAUAUUAGGAGGAACACCAGUGGCGAAGGCGGCUUACUGGACUGUAACUGACGUUGAGGCUCGAAAGCGUGGGGAGCAAACAGGAUUAGAUACCCCAGUAGUC